UUUAUUAGAUUUCAUGCGAUAUCAUAAACUAAACUAUUUAUCCAUACAUAAAAUUAAAAAUAGUUGCUAGUAAUUUUCUAGGAAAGUAACUUCUCGUUGAAUUGUCUUCUAAGAAUAAACAAUAAAUAAAUAUUUUGUGGCAAUUCAUUUAGUGUAACGAAGGGACUUCCGACGACAGUUUCUAGUUCACAUUUUGAGAUAGGAUAAUUUGGUCUACCAACUUAAAAGACAUUAAAUGAAUUGCUCACUGACGACUGCAAAAAAAAAGUCAUCUCAUCACCAAGUUUUGAAAACAGUACUCUAGUCUAUACUAACAAAACUUUAAAAAGAAUUCUAACUAAAUUAAUUAUAUACUACUAGGAGCAAUUCAAAUCAAGUAGACGAAACUCGUGAUGAUUGUGAUCUGAUCUGUCUAUUGAACCGUUGGAUGAAUUCUUCGACUCGUUUGUUUAACUCCUCGUUGGACAAUUUUGAAAACUCUUCAGAUUCUUCUUUAACAUUUUCCCACUUCUCCGGAAUAACCAUCCUUGUCGAGCAAUCUGAUUUCCUUCGACCAUAACUUUUAC
rnacentral:lncRNA from 1 species